rnacentral:rRNA from 1 species
UACAGAGGGUGCGAGCGUUAAUCGGAAUUACUGGGCGUAAAGCGUGCGUAGACGGUAGCGUAAGUCAGAUGUGAAAGCCCCGGGCUCAACCUGGGAAUUGCAUUUGAGACUGCUCUGCUCGGGUGCGGAAGAGGAGAGUGGAAUUCCUGGUGUAGCGGUGAAAUGCGCAGAUAUCAGGAAGAACACCCGUGGCGAAGGCGGCUCUCUGGGACGGUACUGACGCUGAGACGCGAAAGCGUGGGGAGCGAACAGG